UGCACUAGCCCCCAGCACCCUGGUCAAAGUAGGGCACUAGCCCUCAAUACCCCUGGUCAAAGUAGGGCACUAGAUCCCAGCACCCUGGUCAAAAGUAGGGCACUAGAUCCCAGCACCCUGGUCAAAAGUAGGGCACUAGAUCCCAGCACCCUGGUCAAAAAUAGGGCACUAGCCCCCAGCACCCUGGUCAAAAGUAGGGCACUAGAUCCCAGCACCCUGGUCAAAAAUAGGGCACUAGCCCCCAGCACCCUGGUCAAAAGUAGGGCACUACACACACAGUCAGCUGAAUUCUG
rnacentral:lncRNA from 13 species